UUCAGAAUAUAAAAGACAAGUUGUGUGAUUAUUCCAAAACCCUACUAUUUUCUGCAUAACCUACGUUCUCUCUCUCUCAGAAAAUCAUUCACCACCGUAAACGAUUCCUACACUACGGAGCUACAAACGGCCAUAUUUUCAUCGCAAUCGUCAGCGACAUCCGACGGAGAUCCAAUCCGACCUGUAUAGUCUCUCUCCGGCAUCAUUAGUCACCAUCACAUGUAACACUGCCACAUCAACCUCUAAUCGACAUCAAAACCCACCAUUGUAUCUACCUUCUCUAAAACUAUAGGUGUUCAUAUUUUUCCACUUUUGUCUUCACAGGUGGAGUACCAUUGACAUCCAUCACCACCGCUUAAAACCAUAGAUAUAUACUCAUAAGCACAUCCUUUAACCCAAACUCUGGUUUAUGCGUUCUUCUCUAUCUAAUUCUUUGGGAUUUCAUAGAUUUUUUUUUCUUUCACCAUCUUACUCUUGCUAAAACGACAAGGGGCCAUAGUUUCAUUUUUUCUUCUUUGAACAGUUUGAAGAAUAUUAAACAGAGUUGAUUCACCUUUUUACAAAAAGGCUGAUCUAACUGCUUAGGAGCAUACACGGAUCUGUUCUUGUAUACUUAUGGUGCUGUUGUGAACAUUUUAGUAUUUUGUUUUGUUUAGUUUCUGUAAAGAUAUUUUCAUUAUAUUUAUAUAACAGUUGCUUGCUAAUAAUCAAAUAUUAUAUGGGUU